CCUACGGGUGGCAGCAGUCAGGAAUAAUUGUCAAUGGCCGUAAGGCUGAACCAGCCAAGUCGCGUGAAGGAAUAAGGAUCUAUGGUUUGUAAACUUCUUUUAUAUGGGAAUAAAGGUAUCCACUAGUGGAUAUUUGCAUUUACCCUAUGAAUAAGCAUCUGCUAACUCCGUUACAGCAGCCGCGGUAAUACGGAGGCUGCGAGCGUUAUCCGGAUUUAUUGGGUUGAAAGGUUGCGUAGGUUGUUUUUUAAGUCAGCGGUGAAAGUGUGUGGCUCAACCAUAAAAGUGCCGUUGAUACUGGAAGACUUGAGUGUGGUUGAGGUAGGCGGAAUGCGUGGUGUAGCAGUGAAAUGCAUAGAUAUCAAGAAGAACUCCGAUUGCGAAGGCAGGUUCCUAAGCAAUAACUGACACUGAGGCACGAAAGCGUGGGGAUCAAACAGGAUUAGAUACCCUGGUAGUC
rnacentral:rRNA from 1 species